UGUUGAGUGACCAUUUCUAGCUGGUAUAAUUUUGCAGUGGUAAUACAGACAUUCUCAUGUAUUGAUAAAAUAUAAUAAAAUGCUCCGCUGGGCGCAGCUUGAUACGACCACAGAGGUCGAACCCUGAACAGUUGGGGCAAGUAUGGACACAACAUUCAAGCUUGAUACAGCACUGAAUUUGGAUUGUGAUUAAAUAUUUGACACAGCAUAGGUUUCUGACACAGAAUGAAUGUGGUCUAAGAACUUAAAAAUUUUUAAUUUACCUAUUCAAACCAUAUCAUUAUUAUUUGCUUUUAUAUAUAAAUCAGAAAUAACCAAUUUAAAAUGGAAAAUUUUAUAGAAAAAAAAAGGAAAAAAAAAUCCCCCCCAAAUUUUUUGAACCCCCUUAUCAUUCAUCACCCCCAAACUCAAUCCCAGCCUUACCUUUGUGGUAUGGUACCUUGCAGUACAA